CCUACGGGUGGCUGCAGUGAGGAAUAUUGGUCAAUGGCCGGAAGGCUGAACCAGCCAUGCCGCGUGAAGGUCAGUGCCCUAUGGGCGUUAAACUUCUUUUGUGCGGGAGCAAUAAUGGUCACGUGUGGCCAGACGAGAGUACCGUACGAAUAAGCAUCGGCUAACUCCGGGCCAGCAGCCGCGGUAAUACGGGGGAUGCAAGCGGUAUCCGAGUUUAUUGGGUUUAAAGGGUGCGUAGGCUGUGAGGUAAGUCAGCGUUGGAAUGCCCCCGCUCAACGGGGUGAAGUGCCAUUGAUACUGCCUGGCUGGAAUGCGGAUGCCGUGGGAGGAAUGUGUGGUGUAGCGGUGAAAUGCAUAGAUAUCACACAGAACACCGAUUGCGAAGGCAUCUCACGAAUCCGCGAUUGACGCUGAUGCACGAAAGCGUGGGUAUCAAACAGGAUUAGAUACCCUAGUAGUC
rnacentral:rRNA from 1 species